ACAUUUAUAUUUAAAGGAUACUUCCUGCCCUUUCCUUUCACUGGGUCUCAUUCUCCUCCCUUCUUCCUUCUUUCCCUAUCCUUGUCUUUCCCCUUGCCCACUUGUCCUGAUUGUGCGUUUUUGUUUUAGUGGUUGGCACCAGUAUUGUUUUGCUUAGAUAUCAACUUUGAGAAUAGCAGGAUCAUGCCUCAGCAUAAUAGAAUUUUAGAUCUGGAAGGCAUCAAUUUUAGUUCUGGAUCAGCCAUGGAAAGUCUUGAAUCUUAAAGAUUCUGGGAAGAUUCCAGAGUUCCUUCCAGGGGUUUGACUUUUUGUUAGAUGAACCCAGGAGUGCUACCUGGCUGGGAAGCUUAGAUGUAAAGGUAAUGGUUCUGACGAUAGCUAUCAUCAUAAUGAUUAACAUGCAUUGACUGACGCACACUCUGUAAGCUUUGUCUUUUGACAUUUUAAUUUUUUAACAGGUAAUACAUCACAAUGCAAAACUAUAAGAGAUAUUUAGUAAAAAUUUUCCCUCUCCCUCCACUCAGUUACCACCUCCCACAGAAAUAAAUAAUAACUGUUAUCCAUUUAUUGUGUCUCCUCUCUGAGAUGUUAUGCAUAAAUAAGAAAAUAUGAAUAUAAACAUAUAUAGUUCCCCCAUGUUUCAUGGCCAAGUAGGAACACAUUAUACAUUGUUCUUUGCUUCAUGUGUUGUCUUUACUUAAUUCUCACAGCAGUCCUAUGUGGAAUGAGCUGUUAUUACCCUAUUUUACAGUUAGAAUUAAGCUCUAGCUGAGUAACUUGCUCAGGGCAACAUAGCAGUGUGGAGGAGCUGGGAUAACCCCGACUGUCUAACUUGAUCAGCUGCGAUCUCCAUCACUAGGCUGUCCUGCCUCGCUGGGGCUGGUACGGACUCUCCAGGGUUCCUACUGAUUUGCACAGAGUCCCUGGGGGCUCAGUGCAGUGCUGGCUCCUAACCACCAACUCUAGCCAGCAAUGAGGGAAUGUGGCAAAAUUUAGCUCUGAAUCAGUUGGCAUUUCUUUUCUUUCUUUUUUUCAUGAAGUAAUGAUUUUUAAAAAUUGUGGUCAAAUACAUAUAACAUAAAAUUGACCAUCUUAAUCAUUUCUGAGUGUACAGUUUAGUGGUAUUAAGUACAUUUACAUGAUUGUGAAACCAAUCUCCAGAAUUCUUUUCAUCUUCCUGGCAACCUCUGUUCUACUUUCUGUGUCUAUGAGUUUGACUACUCUAGAGACCUCAUAUAAGUGGGAUGAUACUGUAUUUACCUUUUUGUGAUAGGCUUGUUUCACUUAGCAUAAUGUCUUCAAGCUUCAUUCAUGUUGUGGCAUGUGUCAGAACUGCUUUUGCUUUUAAGGCAGAAUAACAUUCCAUAGUAUGUAUAUACAGCAUUUUGUUUAUUCAUCCACCCAUUGGUGGGCACUUGAGUUUCUUCCCCCUUUUGGCUGUGGUGAAUAAUGCUGCUAUGAAUAUAGGUGUACGAAUAUCUGUUUGUGUUUCUGCUGUCAAUUCUUUUGGAUACAUACCCCAAAAUGGAAUUGCUGGAUCAUAUGGUAGUUCUAUUUUUAAAUUUUUGCAGAAUUGCCAUACUGUUUUCCAUAGUGCCUACACCAUUUUACAUUCAACAGUGUACAAGUGUUCAAUUUCGCCACAUUCUUGCCAACAUUUGUUAUUUUCUUCUUCUUCCUUUUUUUUUUUUUUUUUUUGCUAGUAAUCAUCCUAAUGGCUCUGAGGUGGCUGUUCUUUUAUAACACAUUUCUUAAUUCUUGUAUUGGCCCCACCUGUCAAAGAAUUCAGAGUUCUAACCUCAGUCUCUCCUGCAGGCAGAGAGAGGCCUAUGGAUGAACCACCAGCCUGGAAGCUAGGUGAGACUGGUGGCUCAGCUCAGUAUACCUGGCCAGACCCCUCCACGCACCUGGUGACCUCACUCUGUGCUUCAGUGUGGCUGCAUCUUGUUGCUGGUUAUUCCUCAGCAGAAAGAUUUUCUUGAUCUUUGCCAAAAAGACAUGACGGGCUCCCAGAAUGCAGAGGAACCUUUCCCAUCUCAUACGUAACUCGCACUCUUUAUCCAUCCUUCCCAGAUGGGAAUGUUUCCCACAGUGUAAUAUGCAGGAUACAUCAUGUCUCAUGUGGACUCCUCAGAUUCAUAGCUGGAUCGCUUGUUUGGGCUCUGGGUGUUCCUGUCUGGCUACAAAGUAACACAUUUGUAGUGCCCUCGAGGACUUGAACAUGCCGCCAUUCUGACCUCACAGAACCCAGCAGCUCUGCUCCUGCACUUGUCUAGGUUAGAACCUUCCUGCAGACUCAAGAUUGUCAUGCUCGUUAACACACUUUUGUAGGCUCCAGCAGGGCUGCCCAUGCUUAGCUGGGAGGGAGGAUAAAGUAAGGCAGAGAGCAAAGGCCUCUGAUAGCCUUGCCUAUUUGUUCCUGGCUUCUUGCUUUUAUCUCUGACCUUCCAGACUCUGGACCUCAUCUGUCUUGAGCUAUGGUACCUACCAGUGCCUCUCAGCUUUAGCUGACCUCUCUGGGAUGCACCCCUUGUAAGACUGAUUGUUUCAGCCUCAUUCACUUGCCCUGAAACUCUUACUGAUAGUAUCUGUCAGAUCCCCACCUGGCAAAGCAGGCCUCUAGUACUGACCCCUCUUGGCUGUCUGGAUCCUCUUUCCACCGGAACCCAGAACUUAUCCACACCUUGACUUAAGCUCUAUAUGGGUGGGCAUUAUGUUGAUUUGCUCUUUAUUUCCUGUAGGAGUUACUCAAUUAAUGAUGACCAAAUGUUGAAUGAGGCUGUGUAAAGACUUUCACAUUUUAAAAAGUGAGUAUAAAUUAUAGGAUUGGCAACCUAGAAGGAAAAUUAUUUGAAUAAAGAACACGAAAGCUGUGAUUCUAUUUCUUCUGUUCAUGGUAAUUCCUGUGGUCCCCUCUGUUAUCAAGAGAUAUUUCCCAUAUUUGUUUCAGCUCUUAGGAAUAACAGAUAAAAAUUGAUUUGCUGUUCCAAGAUACUGACUUAAUAGGAUUUCCUCCCUAUAAUAUGAACUGUUCAUAGAAGAAGGGCAAACAACCUCUCCAAAUCAGGGACUUAAACUGAACAGUUCUGGAGCCUAAAAUUUACAAAAGGCCACUGUAAUUACUACUCCUGACUCUGAAACAAAUACUUUUCUUCUCCUCCAUCCCUCCCCCUGCUUAAACUCACAUGUCAUAUGAGCCAACUUUUCCACCAGCAAUUCUUGAUACGUAGUGUUGAACCAGA